GGCCCCGUGGUCAAGCGGUUAAGACACCGCCCUUUCACGGCGGUAACAGGGGUUCGAGUCCCCUCGGGGUCACCA
rnacentral:tRNA from 5 species